GCUUGUAUAGUGUAGGUGGUUAUCAUUGGUCGUUGUGGUUCGCAGCAAUCUCAUCAUCUGACCCGACCGCUGUUCGACUCAGCGUGCGAGCA
rnacentral:tRNA from 1 species